ensembl:lncRNA
CAAAUUCUCAAACCAGUGACUCACUCUCUCUCCCUGCUGUUUGUAUCCAGAUGUAAUGCUUUCUGCUCCUUCUCCAGCACCAUGUCUGCCUGCAUGCUGCCUUGCUUCCUGCCAUGACAAUAAUGGACUAAACCUCUGAAACUUUAUUCGUUGCCAGCAGUUUCUCAGUACGUGUAGGACUGGAAAACCAUCUACUGCAUCAAUGCUGGAAUUUUGGCUGGCUUAAUCUUUGUAGGCCUUAUGGAGGAUCUCAUAUCUCAGAACUAAAGAGUGAGACAAGAUUUCCAUCCACCAGUGCACAAUAUCAGAAGUGCUGUAAAAGGAAACUGGAAAAAUGCUCAACUUGGCCAGUUUAUUGAUUUCAUGGAUUAACAGUAAUAACUACAGAAUCAUUUUCUUAUGGGAACAGUUUUGCAAAACUACUAUCCAAUUACGCAUUCAAGAGAUAGGGGAGUUUGGACCAGCAUGGACUACAUACUAAAAC